rnacentral:rRNA from 1 species
GACGAACGCUGGCGGCGUGCCUAAUACAUGCGAGUUGAGCGCUGAAGCUUGGUCCUUGUUCCCACUGGAUGAGCAGCGAACGGGUGAGUAACGCGUGGGGAAUCUGCCUUUGAGCGGGGGACAACAUUUGGAAACGAAUGCUAAUACCGCAUAAAAACUUUAAACACAAGUUUUAAGUUUGAAAGAUGCAAUUGCCUCACUCAAAGAUGAUCCCGCGUUGUAUUAGCUAGUUGGUGAGGUAAAGGCUCACCAAGGCGAUGAUACAUAGCCGACCUGAGAAGGUGAUCGACCACAAUGGGACUGAGACACGGCCCAAACCACUACGGGAAGCAGCAGGAGGGAAUCUUUGGCAAAGGACGAAAGGCUGACCGAGGAACGCCGCGUGAGGGAAGAAAGAUUUCGGAUCGGAAAAAUCAGUUGGUAGAGAAGGACGUUGGUGAGAGUGAAAAGCGCAGCAAGUGACGGUAACUACCCAGAAAGGGACGGCUAACUACGUG